AAGCUUAUAAUUCCCAUACUCCAUUCUACAGAUUGACUGAAUUCUAAAUGGUUGCAUGACAAUCGGUUCUUGCAGUUGAUACAGGUGUGAGUUGUGACUGCUGCUAGGUUCUCUUAUUCAUCACCUUCAACUAGUUCAGGCUUAGUGUCCCUUCUUCUGCACAUAAUACAUGCUAGCUGGUAAUUAUGUCCUGUUCUUGAAGAUGAUAUAGGAGUAUAUAACCGAAGUAAAGAUAGCCUUUGUUGAAAGAAGAAGGAAUCCAGGAACUCUUUCAUGAUACUGUCUUGACAAGAUUUAUAAGAACUACAUGCAGUUGAGCGUUAGCAGAAUUGAUUGUAAUUUCUUGGCAUGCAAUGCACAAUUAUGAAACUUCAGGAAAUUAGUUGCAAAAACUGAUUAUUGUUGGAUCAAGCUACAAUGUCUCCAUAGUUGCUAAUAGGGGGUAGAAGAUUCAAUCCUUAUUUGAUGGCUGCUGACAGGGAGCUGAAGUACUGCAUACAUCAGGAAUCCAUGGAACAUGUGUGAUUCCUCUUCUUAGCUUGCCCAACAGCUUCCUCCCCUCAAAUGAGAUUUAACACCCAUUUGGCGUAUUUUUGCAACAAACCUGGAACAAACAAGGUCAAAGAUGGUGAUUGGUCAUUCGAGUUCAAAACUGAUGCGGAGCAAGUGAGUGAUCAGAAGGCUUCACACUAUAGUGUGCCAGCUCCAACAAGGUGCUGAUGAAGUGCCCUUCAACACCUUGAUUAACCGGCAAACAUAGUGUACAAUUAAUUCGAAGAAAGAUAAGGUUUAGUGUCGUUGCCUAUUCAACUAUACCCCGGAGGAGUGAUCCUCACGGAGGGGGAAGAAGUAGUGGCCAUAGGGCGGAGAGCACUCGUGACGGUGGUACGUGAUUUACCCAGUUUCGGAACACCUGCUCGAGGACAUGGCCUACUUCUGCUUGUCUGGAUUUAUCUGGGCGCUUUCGUGUUGUUAUAAUGAGUUGUGGUUGUGCCUCUAGGGCCCUCGGGAUCCGGUUUAUAAAGACGUCAGGAUCUAGGGUUUCUACGGAGAGUCCUACCCGA